AACGAACGCUGGCGGCAUGCCUAACACAUGCAAGUCGAACGAGACCUUCGGGUCUAGUGGCGCACGGGUGCGUAACGCGUGGGAACCUGCCCUUAGGUUCGGAAUAACUCCCCGAAAGGGGUGCUAAUACCGGAUAAUGUCUUCGGACCAAAGAUUUAUCGCCUUUGGAUGGGCCCGCGUUGGAUUAGCUAGUUGGUAGGGUAAAAGCCUACCAAGGCGACGAUCCAUAGCUGGUCAGAGAGGAUGAUCAGCCACACUGGGACUGAGACGCGGCCCAGACUCCUACGGGAGGCGGCAGUGGGGAAUAUUGGACAGUGGGCUAAGGCCUGAUCCAGCAAUGCCGCGUGAGUGAUGAAGGCCUUAGGGUUGUAAAGCUCUUUUACCCGGGAUGAUAAUGACGGUACCGGGAGAAUAAGCUCCGGCUAACUCCGUG
rnacentral:rRNA from 1 species